GGAUGCGAUCAUACCAGCACUAAAGCACCGGAUCCCAUCAGAACUCCGAAGUUAAGCGUGCUUGGGCGAGAGUUAUACUAGGAUCGGUGACUUCCUGGGAAGUCCUCGUGUUGCAUUCC
rfam:Triticum aestivum genome assembly, contig: Triticum_aestivum_CS42_TGACv1_scaffold_469545_5DS